UACGAAGGGGGCUAGCGUUGCUCGGAAUCACUGGGCGUAAAGGGCGCGUAGGCGGCGUUUUUAAGUCGGGGGUGAAGCCUGUGGCUCAACCACAGAAUGGCCUUCGAUACUGGGACGCUUGAGUAUGGUAGAGGUUGGUGGAACUGCGAGUGUAGAGGUGAAAUUCGUAGAUAUUCGCAAGAACACCGGUGGCGAAGGCGGCCAAACUGGACCAUUACUGACGCUGAGGCGCGAAAGCGUGGGGAGCAAACAGG
rnacentral:rRNA from 1 species